rnacentral:lncRNA from 1 species
UGUGAAACCAUUAAGGGAAUUUUAGGCUAAAAUGAAUAUUUGGCAAGACAUAUCAAAACCUCAUAUCUUUGUUCACUUUAUGUCCCUGAAAAAGUGCUAAAAUGAUUUACUUUACAAAGUGAAAUGUUAUUUAAUGGAAAUAAAUAUGUGGUGAAUAAGUAAGUUGGGGGAAUUAUUGUGCAGAAUGGAAAAGUGGUUUCUGUAAGAUCUGAAGGAAAGCCUGCUUCUUGUUAGUAGCUUAUCUGUGUCCCCAGAUACAUAAAAAAAUAGGAAGAAAAAAGUGGGCCAAGUGAUCAGUUAUUGGCAGCCUCAGCCAUGCUAACAAGGCCACCAAUGGUACCAACUCCUGCUAGAUCAUUAUUCUACAAAACCAGUUCAAUCAAAAGCCUCACACUGUUGUUUGCAUGCAGGCCAGAGCUGGUACAAUGCUCUUGUUAGUACAACUGUGGAAACUAAGGAAGCUAAAAAAGCUAUCAGUUCAGUUUUAUAGAUCUUGAAACCAGUUGAUUAGAAAUUUGUUAGCAGCGAUGAUCUGCUUGUAGCCAAAUACUUAAAAACAGAGAGCCAGAUCUAAAAUUUUCAUUCUUAUAAUGCAAUAAUUUUAUAAUGUUACAAUUUACAACCUGUGAUGAUGUUGAAGAUAUC